CCUGCGCGGGCAUUCUGUGGAUUGUUUUUGUCAAAUUGUGGACCGAUGCCUUAGUGGCUGAAGCGGUGGUCAAUCAGAAAAGUUGCAACAGUAAUAGCGACUGCGGUAACACAGAUCAAUUUUGUUGUCUGGUGGAAGGAAAUGGGCAAGGUUCUGGAAUCUGCAGACAGAGAAACCUGCAUGCAACCAAACCUGCAUAGCAGGACAGUCCUUCAACACGAGACUUGGGGAGGAUAAGGCGAGUCAUACAGAAGGCUGCCCCUGCCGAAACCCGUGCUUGUGUACCAUCAGUGCUGGGAACGGAAAGCAAGGCACUUGCGAGAGAGUGUGAAGAUGAACUUAAGCAAAAAGAAUAACUACUCUAAUGUGUGGAGUGCGCCGCUUGUUGUUGAAUAAUAAAAAAAUAAA
rnacentral:lncRNA from 1 species